rnacentral:lncRNA from 1 species
UGAGACCCUGUCUCUAUUUUUUAAAAAGAGAGAGAAAGAUAACAAGCAAGACAAAAUACACAUUUUUCUUGAGAGAGGGUUUAUAGCUUCUUCAAAUUUUAAGAGGGUCUGUGUUAUUAAAAUUAGGUUGAGAGCCUGAAUAAUCUUUAAGGCCAUUUCCAGCUCUAAUGUGCUUUGUGGCUUCUAUAGCAGGAAAAAAAGUAGUUAAUUAGGUUCCUCUAUGAUCUGGUAUUUCAGGACUUGCCUUGGGUCAGAUUUUAUUAAGGUUGUUUUCCAAUAAUUGCGUUUAAGAGUUACGCUUAACAGAAUUACAAAUAUCAAAAUCUCAGGAGGUAUUCCUGAGUAAAAACAGGGGAUUCAGAGUAAUUCUUUUAACCGAAGAAGGAGAGGUUCUUCAACAAUUGAAAACAAAGACCCAGAUUCCAUUUGGCAGGUAGGAUAGAGCUGGAUCGACUCUUCAUAGAAAGAAGGGGGCACUCCUCCAAAAGCAUGUCCCCACACAUGCGCGAGUGUGUGAAAGGCCAGAGUGUAAUACUUCAGCUGAAGGCCAUGGGCUCUUUUUAACAUGAAGGCAGUGGGGUAGACACAGUUCAUAGAGAGAGCCUGAGUUUUAUGAUGGGCAUCUGCAAUCUGAGUUCAAGCCCAGAGUUACGAGAGUAUUUCAACAUGCUGUUGGGCUGGUUUUCUCAUCUAUAAAAUAGGGACAAUAAUAUUCAGCUCUAAACGGAAGAGUCUCUGCAGCAAAUAGAUACUACAUGCAAGGUUAUUGAGGAGAGUUUCAUGAGGGACUAUUUACAAAGGUGUGCACAGAGUUAAGAGAAACCAGUGAGGCGUGCUGAAGCCUCUGGGACUGGUUAAAGCAGAGAGCCUUUUAUCAUUCCCACAGCUGAAGGAGCAAGAGAAAGAAGGGUUACUUUAAAAAGGAGAGAGCCAUAGCUGGAGCUAUAGGAAAGGGCUACACAAAAGAGCCCUGGCCUUCCAAGAGAAACAGAUACAGCUCCUCUUGGCCCAGCAGGGAGACAGCCAGAGGGGAAAACACUUUGAUCAUUUUCUCUUCUCAUCCUCCCGCUGGUGCCUCACCUUGGCCAAACCCAAGCAAAAAGCAAUGGGCAAGGGAGCCUGUUGACAUGGUCAUAAAAGUCAGUCUCCUGUGGCAGAGAAGGAUGGAGAAGGGUGGGGAGAGGAUGUGGAGAAGAAAUGAGCAUUUGAGCCUAUAGAAUGCUGAAGUAGGCUUGGCCAUGCCAUAUCACUAUUGGUCAAAGCCCAUCUCUGCUCUUUGUAACCAAGCAUCUUGCCAGGCACAGCUGAUGAAUUCUAGUUCCUUCAUAAUCUGAAUCUGACUUCCUUUCCAUCGUAGUGCCCACUGUUCACUUUCAUCUACUCUGCAGAAUUACUAUGGGAAAAACACAUUUAUGUACAUUAUCACUAAUCCUCUUAACAACUCAUCAGAUUUCUUUCUACAUCUGCUCUCCGAGACCUCAGAAGCAUCUUCUCCUUACAAAUUGCUGCCAAAAUGU